CGGUCGCAAGACUAAAACUCAAAGAAAUUGACGGGGACCCGCACAAGCGGUGGAGUAUGUGGCUUAAUUCGAUGCAACGCGAAGAACCUUACCAAGGCUUGACAUGUAUUGCUAAGCACGUGAAAGCGUGUGACCCUUCGGGGACCUUACACAGGUGCUGCAUGGCCGUCGUCAGCUCGUGUCGUGAGAUGUUUGGUUAAGUCCAGCAACGAGCGCAACCCCUGUGAAUAGUUGCCAGCACGUAAUGGUGGGGACUCUAUUCAGACUGCCCAGGUCAACUGGGAGGAAGGUGGGGAUGACGUCAGGUCAGUAUGGCCCUUACGCCUUGGGCUGCACACGUACUACAAUGCCCAGUACAAUGAGAACCGAUACCGCGAGGUGGAGGAAAUCUGUAAAACUGGGCCCAGUUCGGAUUGGAGGCUGCAACUCGCCUCCAUGAAGUUGGAAUCGCUAGUAAUGGCACAUCAGCUACGGUGCCGUGAAUACGUUCCCGGGUCUUGUACACACCGCCCGUCACAUCAUGGAAGCCGAUCGCACCCGAAGUAUCUGCGCUAACUUUUUAAGAAGCAAGGUCCUAAGGUGUAGUUGGUAACUGGGAUG
rnacentral:rRNA from 1 species